rnacentral:rRNA from 1 species
GGUGAACGCUGGCGGCGUGCCUAAUACAUGCAAGUCGAGCGAACAGACGAGGAGCUUGCUCCUCUGACGUUAGCGGCGGACGGGGGAGUAACACGUGGAUAACCUACCUAUAAGACUGGGAUAACUUCGGGAAACCGGAGCUAAUACCGGAUAAUAUAUUGAACCGCAGGGUUCAAUAGUGAAAGACGGUUUUGCUGGCACUUAUAGAUGGAUCCGCGCCGCAUUAGCUAGUUGGUAAGGUAACGGCUUACCAAGGCAACGAUGCGUAGCCGACCUGAGAGGGGGAUCGUCCACACUGGAACUGAGACACGGUCCAGACUCCUACGGGAGGCAGCAGUAGGGAAUCUUCCGCAAUGGGCGAAAGCCUGACGGAGCAACGCCGCGUGAGUGAUGAAGGUCUUCGGAUCGUAAAACUCUGUUAUUAGGGAAGACCAAAUGUGUAAGUAACUAUGCACGUCUUGACGGUACCUAAUCAGAAAGCCACGGCUAACUACGUG